CUGGGCUGCAAGGGGUUGCCCACGGGUGUUUGUACGGGGGGGCGGGGGUGUAGAUAUCCACAUAUAUACUUGUACACGUAUACACAUACGUGUGCAUGUCGGUAUACAUACGUGGAAAGAGUGCGUGUGGCAGUGCACAUACACUUCUGCCUGUUUGCGCACACCUGCAUGCACACACACGCAGUAUGCACGUGCACGCACGCUGUACCCUAUAUGCUACAGGUGCACUGCGUGUAUACACCUACACAUGCAGAUGCGUGUGCAUGCAUAUACGUACACACACACGUACAUGCAUGUACGUGGCUGCACGGGCUCACACACCGAGUGAGUGAGUAGGGGCGGGAGUCAGUCUACUAUUUUUCAUAAUGAAAAAAUGACUGAAAUUAGUUUUGAGAAGCAGGUGCCACAAAACUCAGGCAAGUUGCAGAAGGGCGCCUGGAGCCGAAAGAGGCUGAAAAACCCCUGUACUGGGUACAGGAAGCCACGAUGAUCGCUUUCUCUACAGCAUCUUCAAUAGCAACUGGAUAUCUUUUUCAUGCCUGUUAAUGGGGACUGAUUUCAGACAUGCUCCAGUGAAGACAUUAAGUAGGACUGACAUUGUCUCCUUGUUUUAUUCACCGUAGGCCUAAAGGCCUCAAGUUGCAGUUAGUUCGUUACUGAACAAACUGCCAGUUUUCAGGGAGUCUCCAGCACUCGACGCUCCUCACCUCCCUCUCCAGCGCUCGGUGCUGUCUUCCCCGGGCACUGACGUUCCUGGUUAUGCCUCUGGCUUUGCUUACACAAAAAGUUGAACCAGUUUAACUCUGGUUUACUCAAUCUGGUCAAUUUAAGUAGUGCACACCAAUUCACAGGUGGUUUUCUAGGUGUAGCUUGUGUUGAUAACUUUUUAAAACCAAUUUUAAUUAAAUAGGCACAAUAUCUGGCUAGGUGAGGGUUGAAACAUCAUUUCCCACACCCGUUGCAUAGUCAUGCAUGCACAUAGGAAAAGAAAGGAGAAAGUGCUUGAUGAAGUUAUGGAACCACUUUGAUUCCAGUUAAUUUACUACAUAUCUGCUCCCUGACAUAGGAAGUUGCUUGGCUUACCUUUCUAGUAGGAUCUAUUAAUUUAGCAAUAGCAGUUGUAAUUAUGCUUUAAAAAUACUGACAGUAAAAUCUGAUUUCACGUGCUCCUGCAUUUCGGGGGAGGGGAAAAAUCUUGACUAGAAACUCUCACUUCUUGAAUGAAACUUUCCAUGCUUCAGAGCUCUCAAAGCUAAACAGAAUUAUUGAAAAUUAGGGUUGGAAGUCUGUGUGUGCGUAGUUUUCGACAAAUGAGCUGUUAAACUCAGUAAGACUAUUAGCGCAUGAGGCUAAAUGUUUGCAUAAUCAUUUGCAGAAGUGUGGUGUGAAACUAGUUUUACAAAUACACAGCAAAGCUAAGGCACGUCUUACCUUUAAAGCAGCUAAUCAAUCUAGUAUUAUGACUUCGUUUGCUUAGCUAGAGUAAACGAAACAAAGGAAAUGAGACUUAAAAGAUACAGCAUGGGAUAUUGGAGUUUUUACAGGUUAGUUUUAUUCUGGUACUGUUUGUAGGCCACAUUAGCCCACUGAUUGCACUGGUUGUUGUGCAAACACACGUGAGCUUCAUGCUGAUGAAUUACAAUUUUAAGCCUUGGGACCGUUCUCUUUCUCUCUUGGUUGGAGGAUUUGGACCAAAAAGGAAAAACACAUGGAGGGGGGACUUUGGGGAAGUGAUUGAACAGAACAAAAUCUGAAAAACGAUUCUGUGAGAAUAUCUUCUUUUACCACCUGUCAUGAUGUAGAAAUAGGCAAGAGGUCAGUUUGGCUUUUAAAUUCAGGAGCAGUGUGUAGGUCUGGGAUGAAAAAAACCACCCCAUUUCUUCCACCUGUUCCCUUAUAUACUAAGCAAAUUUGAUUUAGAGAAAGAAGGGUUUUCUUUUUACUAAAACUGCACUUAACCUUGACCUGGCAAUCGCAUAGCAUCAUAGCUCUUAACUUAUUUGAAAAUUUGAUUACUGUAACUUAAAAAAAAAUUAAACAUCUAGGAAUUAAGAACUGUAAAGUAAUAGGUAGUGUGUUAUUUUAUCAUCUCAGGUUCAAGCAGGACAGUUUCAGGAAUGUAUGACUUGAGAGAGGCAGCCAGACAGACCAUCCAAAUGCUUCAGUUGGCAGGAUGAAGUGAUAUGCUAAUGUAAGAGAAAAGGUUGAUCCUGAUGGUAAAACAAGCGUACCCGUUAAGAUGACUGCGGGGAAAGUAUCCUGUUUUCAUCUACGCGGCCUGCAAAAUCUUAAAAUCUUGAAGACCUGGACUUCUUCAGCUGUGACAUCACAAACCUGAAGGAUUACAGGGAAAGGAUUUUUGAGCUGCUUCAGGAGAUCACCUACCUGGAUUGAUUUGAUCAGGAAGAAGGGGAUGAGGAGGAUGAAGCAGAUGAAGAUGAAGCUGGUCCACCAGGAGAGUACAAAGAAGAUGAAGAUGGUGGAGGUUCAGAUUUGGGGGAGGGGGAAAAGGAGGAAGAAGCUGGCCUUUCAUACCUGAUGAUGGACAAGAUCCAGGUAGGACUUACCCUAUUCUACUGUAAGGCUCAGGAUUUUCUUGAUACUAUCUAGCUAUAAACGUGUAAUAUUUUAAACGUGUAUAAGCAUAAUCAUGUAAAUCCACUAUCAUAUGUGAGCGAUAGAGUACUUUAGAGAGAGACCUUUUACUAUCAAAGAAGUGCGUUACAGUAGGGGAACCACCGCUCUUUGGUAUUCUCCGUUACCUUGCUCAACAUGAAAUGCUGCAAGAUUCAUUACUUCACGGCCUUGUAGAAUUAGUAUCAUUCUACACCAGAUCACCAAGUCCAAUUUGGAGGAGAACGUGGCCGAAACAAAUCCACCUGCCCUACCAGGAUGCUCACAAGUGCCUGGGGCACUUGAGCCUUGAGAGCCAUGCCCUCACCAUGCAGAUCUGCAGGUUGUCAGGUGUGGGGCUGGGGCUUCCAGGCAUGGGGGAGAGGGUGAGUAUGGAGGAGCUAGGGCCUGAGGGUGCAGGGAGCUGAUCAGGAUGUGAGGGCUGAGGCAAAGGGGAGACAGGCUGGGAAUCCAGGAGUGAGGGCUGGCCACUGAGGAAGAAGUCAGGGAGAGGCUGGAGCUGUGGCCCUGGGAGUGCCGUGGGUUCGGCCAUGCAGGGGAGAGCUGGGGCAGGGAGCGGAGACUUGCCCUGGGUGGGAGCGCAUUGCCCUUGCCCUGGGUAGGAGCACAGGACCUUGAGCUGCUCUUAGUGGAGGGAGGUGGGUGGGGAGUUGGAUCCUGGCAUUUUGGGGAAGGAGAAGGGAUUGGACGCUCCUUUCACCCCACUUAUCUCAGGGCCCUUUUCUUUCCUAGCCAGGGGGGCAGAAAACCCGUGUGAUGUUUGCUGAGCUGACCUGCAGGGAGCCUGAUGGACCCAGGGGAUGGGAACGGGGCUGUGUCGGGUUCGCUGCUCUGGGAAGGAAGCGAGUUAGAGCAGAGCAGGCAUGAGGACCAGGACUUGCAGGUUGUGCCCUGCUCUGGCUCUUCGAAAGGAGUGCUGUCCAGCUUGCCAUAGUGAGGGGCAUGGUUUGGGAGGACUCCUGGGUCCUGUUUCUAGCUGAGGGAAGGAGGGCAGGGGGUGGGAGGAAGGCUCUGUGGCUCAGGACUCCUGGCUUCUUUUUGGGAUCUGUCACUUCCCCAGAAUGAACCCACAAAUGAUCUGUGCAUUGAAUCAAUUGAUCCCUUGGGUGAUGCUGUCAGCACGUACAUGGAGGUGAGUGGAAGCAGCGCGGUGGGAGGUGUCCACUGCCCUGAUCAGAGGAGGCCGGGGUUGGGGGAAUACUGGGCCCAUGGAUCGGAUUGAAGGGUGGAUGGCGAUACUGGGUUGGGGUGGCCUCAUGGGUCCCAUCUGUCAGGCAGAGGAAGGUAGUAAUAGGUGCAUGGGUCAGAUCUAGGCUGGCAUGGGGCUGCAGGGAAGCAGAAGGAUUACUUGGCUGGGGGUGGACCCGUGGGUCCCACGGGAGGGUUUGUAUACUACAAGCAGGGCCCUCCUGCUAGGGUCCCCAUUGGGUCCCAGUCAUGCCCUUCCCUGCCCAGCCCUGUCCUGGCAGUGGCUGAUGGGGAAAACGUGGGGUCUUUCCAUUCUCCUUCAGUAUGGAAAUGACCUCUGCUUUGCCUCCCAGCCCGCUCGUGCUUUGCCUCCUGUCUCUUCACAGCGGUUAUCAAUGUGAGCCAUGAUGCACGACUGAUCACGCAGACCAGCUGCCAGCUCUGGGUGGUGGAGGAGCAGUCCAUCAGCCAGAUCAACGGUGACUUCGACUGCAAGUGGGAGGUGCUGGAGGCCUCGGGCCAGGGUGAGAGUUUUCUGUAGACAAAGCAUUGGACCCCAUGGACGUCCUGAUGAGGAUGGGAAAUCAGAGCAAUGACUACAUAGCUAUCUGGAGCGUCAUCUCGGGUCACGUGUGCUUCCAUCCUGACACUCGGUGAGCAAAUUCUGUCUUCCAGGUUCAGUCGGAGGGAAGGAAAAUCAGUGGAUGAUGGCACUGCAGGGUGCUGGACUCUCAGAUAGUUUCUAAACUAAACAAAAGUUGAAAUACCCCCCGGUGCCCUGGGAAAUACACCUUUGUGAGAUGUUUGUCAUGGGGGACAGUGGGCUUUGGCCAAAUCUGGGGACUUGUUUGGGGGGUCUCUACAAAGGCACGAGAGAGAGGCAGAUAGCGGAGGCAGACACACACUGUGGGUAAAUGUGAUUCCACCUGGCUAGCUGGUGUUUCACAUAACCUACAUCACCGUGCUACAUUCACAACUACAUGGGCUCAUUUUGUGAUGUUUCUAGUAAGUGGGGGAGGUCGAGGCAGCAGCAGCCAGGGAGCAGGGAGCAGAUUUGCAUGAAGGAACAGAUCUUGGUCCGGGAGUCAGAGAGAGACUGGGAGGGUCCCAGCGAGAAACUUCCUUGGCUCAGGAAGCCGACCUAGUCUGGAUUCCCACCAUAACCCCUCUCCUCCUUGUGCUGCUCACGUGCUGCUCGGGUAACUCAUCAAAGGCCGCGUGCUGCAGAUUACUUUUGCAGACCUUCCUGGGAUGAACAGAGAAAUGGGGAGCCCGCUGUACGAGAGGAGAAUAAAGGAACUGCCUUGUCCUACCUUGUGAGAAGCAGACCGAGAACGGAGAUGACUGCUCUCUGCGAUUACAUCCGAGAGAGCCAAGAGCCAUGCAGAAGAAAAGGAGAGUGCCAGCUCCAGAAAAAAUUAUGUCAAAUCAAGGAAAUGGUCAACAGAGAACUGCCACGCUCAUCACAUGUACGCGUGUCUCAGAAGCCAGUAAAGGCAAGAAAGCUACAUAGACGGACAAAAAACUAGAGCUCUUCCUUUCAAAAUGAUAUCUUUCAUUACACCAACUGGAGAAUCACAAGAAAAUUGUCCUUUUCUGCAAGCUUUCAGGAUCAAAGUCCCUUUGUCAAGCUCUGGGAAAAGUAUAGGUGGUACAAGAUGGUAAGGAGUCCCUAUAGGUAGGAAAUCAACUUCAUUUUUGCACGGAGGAAGCUGGAGAUGGAAGACUGUUCCUCUGGGUCCGUGAGAGUGUCUUUGUGAGCUGGGCCAAGUAGCUCUUUGCUGUGUUGGUCAGGUAGGACUCCUUCCCUGGAGGUGUCAGAUGGCAAGCAGGGAAGUAACAAAAACUUCCUUCUUAUUCUGCAAUGAAGUUUAAAACCCCCAAAAGAAAGCUACAUACACAUUUCAAUUGACAUAGCAGCUACAGGGAACAAAAGGCUAAAUACGCAUCUCAACAGAAACUUGUAAAAGAUACAGAAAAAAUGUCCUGUAUGUGACAAACACUUCUCCCAACAAACAUCCUAAGGGGUAGGGCGUUCAAAAUGUCUGAACCAUUCAGUGCAGGUCUGGAGUUUGAAAAACAAACCAUCGCCUGUACACGCUACUGCAAAUGUGCCCAGCUGAUAUACAGAUACCCCAAGACAGGUUUGGUGACACCUCUAAGUAUCCUGUCCAACUGCUCAGGCCCAUCCAAACGCUCAGACCUACAAUUAUAGGGUCUGCAGAGAUGCACAAGUUUUACCCCUAGACAAUGCAAGAACAGGAGCCAGGCAAUUACUAGUUGUGAUAUGAUGAUCAACACCCUUUUCUCCCUGUUUGUCUGGACUCUAAGUGGCCAACUAUCAAGAAAAAAUGCUUUGAAGUUAUACAAUGAAACAAUAUAAGAACUAACAGAAUUUGCCAUCAAAGUGUGCACUCCAGGAGAAGCAGAGAGAGAUCACUGCUACAUCGCAACCAGCUUAACCAGCAACGGAUCCUGCAUGGGGAAAGCUGCAAAACUGGACCAGCUUCCUUCGCCGGCAUUUGUGAGAGAACACUAUUGCUGCUAAAUAUGUACUAGGACUUUGUGCAGUAGCUCCUUUUAUUUUGGAAAGAGUCUUUUUCUGUCAUUUGGUUUGAU